UUCUCUUAUUUUGGUUUCUCAAGUUUUAUUAAGUGUUUUCUUAAAACCCCACAACAUAUACUUUAUUUCUCGUUAAAUCUCAUGAUGAAGGUUUAAAGGAGAGGAGUCAUGUGUAGAAAUUCUCAAAGAGAACACACAAGAUGAGGAAAAGAGGUCUAUAAGAAGAGGAAUAAAGUCAUGAAGGACUAAAAGAAAUUAAAUCUUAUAGAGGAAGAAGCAAAUUAUUAAGCAUGCAAGAAAAUUCUCUGUCAAAGCGUCCUAAAGAUUGACUCGUACGACGGCCUUCCACUGGGAUUCAGCUUCCACGUUCUUUAUUCCAUUUGUUGGAUAUUGAGUAAGCUUUCCAGUGAAAGUGAUAUCACUCACAUCCGAGCAGACGAUCAAAAGUUAUGCCCGAUUCAGUGGGUAUAUAUCAAUCUGACGCGACUGAGAAGAAGCUAUCCACCAUUGAGGUCGGUUAAGGUGUCGAUUGGCCAUUGCCUGGCCAUGAAAAAAGCUUCAAAAGAAGCCAAAAUUGGAGCACUUGAAACCUAAGAAGCGGUCAUGAAAGAAGCCUUAGAAGACUAGUCUUGAUGUUGUUCCAAUAAGGGAUAAUGAAGGAGGAUUAGCUUUAAGAGCUAAUGGCUGCUAGGCUUGGUGUUGUCAAGAAGUUUCAAAGAAAGUUACAAAGAAGGAGAAGUCAAAGAAAGCUUCUGGAGCUAAAGAAGGGUGUAAACAACCCUCAUGGAGCUCUAGAAGAUCUUUAAAGAAGCGAAUAAUCAAGGAAGCUUAAAAGAAGGUCUCAUUCAAGAUUUGUAAGUGUCCAAGCAAACUUGAAGAGAAGAAAUGUUCUAUAUCUCUCUCAAGCUUCAAAGGAAGCUACAAAGAUGAUAGAAAGAAGCAAGACAAGCGUGUGGAGUUUAGAGCCGAUUAUAAACAAGCAAGAAGCAAGACCACUUGAUAGUUUCAACCACAGUACUAAACUCCGGCGGUAUAAACGAUGCCCGAGGGAAGAGUAUAUAUGGCUCUCUCAAGCGAGGUGAACCUAUUUAAGCUGACCGAGAGAGAUAAAGCUAGAUGGAAGGACUAGUGGAGAUGCAAGGCUGGUGAUACAAGACUCGGUGGUGAGCUUGUAUUAGGAUAGAGAUGAUGGCUUCACAAGAUGGCGGUCUCUUCUCUCUUGUGAAGGAAAGAUGGUCGCUGAUGUAGAUCUGACACGAUGGCGGUCACUUCUCUCGUGUGGGAUCGAUUGUAGGGGAAGUGAUGGCGGAUAGAAGUACACCACUGAGAUGCGAUUGGUCUCUGAUACAGUACACGAACUCAGCCUUGUGGAGUCACACACACAAGACAAAGAACAAGCUUUUCUCUUAAGAACACUUAAGGAGAAAAAGGAAGAAUAUUUGUUUCUUUAUUGAUAAUAGGGUAAAAAACUCGUACAACUGCUGCAGGGGGACUUUAAAAGAGUCCUUCAGCUAGCCUUAAGGCCGAAAUAAAUGUAAAAAUGCAACAAAGGAAACAAAUAAAACUAC
rnacentral:lncRNA from 1 species